rnacentral:rRNA from 1 species
CCUACGGGAGGCAGCAGUAGGGAAUCUUCCGCAAUGGACGAAAGUCUGACGGAGCAACGCCGCGUGAACGAGGAAGGCCUUCGGGUCGUAAAGCUCUGUUGUCAGGGAAGAACAAGUACCAGAGUAACUGCUGGUACCUUGACGGUACCUAACCAGAAAGCCACGGCUAACUACGUGCCAGCAGCCGCGGUAAU